CUGACCUCGUGAUCCGCCUGCCUCGGCCUCCCAAAGUGCUGGGAUUACAGGCGUGAGCCACCGCGCCCGGCCGCUGCUUUAAGUUCUUAACACGUCCUCACCGCGGCUCAGCUCACUGAAACUGAAAAUUCACACAGCAGCCGUGGGAGUCAGAGUAGCAAAGGCUUUGAGAUCACAUAGACCUGGGACACGUGCUUGCUUUGUGAUUACGGGUGCGGGGACUGCUUGCCAACCCAUGGCAACUCACCUGUAGCGCAUGGAGAUUUGGGGGUAAACCCAGUGAUGCUGAGUAUGUGGGCUGCCCAAGCUGGGUGGCAACCAACCCCAGCAUUGAAUGUGCUGAGAGCUGGACCGGUGGAUGUCCCCACUGCCCUGAGGCAGGUCCAGGAGAAGGCUCCUACCUGCUGUGCAGAGGGCAAGCCCCAAGUCAAGACUCCCAAAAUGUUACCAGAUGUCAGGCAUGAAAUAUACACCCCUGGCAAGCUCUGCCAUGCACAGGAGUCAUGCUGCUUUCAAUCCACGGGAGAGCCGGACACGAGCGUUCCAAGGCAGGAGCAGAACUCCAUGUUGGCCAUUAUAAAGACAAGAUUCCUUUUCCCCCGCUUUUUAUAGCCUCUCUGGGUAAGAUGUGUCUGGAAGGAGGUGUGGGCCAGGAAAGAGCAUAUGUCUGAUGCCUGGGAUUCCAGGACAGAAAGUACAGCCGACUCCAAGCUCUUGGGAUGGGAUUGGAGGGUCUCAAAACCUUGCCAGCUUUGGAGUCAGAGAGAAAAGAGUCCCAACCCCAGAUUUAUCAUUUGCUAACAAAUGUGACCUUGGGCAAAUCAGCUCACCUCUCUGGCCCUCAACAGAGAUAAUCCUGGGACCUAUUUCACAGUCAUGGAGAGGAUUAAAUGGGAAGAGGAAUAAAAGGAGUUUGGAGAAGUGCCCAGGACAUAGUAUGCACUGAGCAAAUUCCGUAGUAAGAGGAGUAUUAGUAAUAGCUACUAUUGAUUAGGUGGUGUUGUGAGUUGAACAGUGUUCCCCCAAAAUUCAUGUCCACCCAGAGACACAGAAUGUGACCAUUUGUGGAAAUAGGGUCUUUGCAAAUGUAAUUAGUUAAGAUGAGGUCAUACUAGAUUAGGGUAGGCCCUA
rnacentral:lncRNA from 1 species